GCCGGAGGAGAGUCACCACAUCCAGGUGUUUGAUCCGACCCCUGGAGAAGAACAAUGCUACCAUGACAAGAGGGACGAGUGGACAAGGAGUCUAGCUGAAGUGUUCUGGGCCAAGGCUUCUAGCCCUUCUUAGGGAUAAAAGCAGGCCCUUCGGCUGGGCGUGGUGGCACAAACAUUUAAUCCCAGCACUCCGGAGACAGAGGCAGAGGUAGGUGGA